rnacentral:rRNA from 1 species
AGUCGAACGGCAGCACGGGAGCUUGCUCCUGGUGGCGAGUGGCGAACGGGUGAGUAAAGCAUCGGAACGUACCUUGUCGAGGGGGAUAACGCAGCGAAAGUUGUGCUAAUACCGCAUACGUCCUGAGGGAGAAAGCGGGGGACCGCAAGGCCUCGCGCGAUGAGAGCGGCCGAUGUCAGAUUAGCUAGUUGGUGAGGUAAAGGCUCACCAAGGCGACGAUCUGUAGCGGGUCUGAGAGGAUGAUCCGCCACACUGGAACUGAGACACGGUCCAGACUCCUACGGGAGGCAGCAGUGGGGAAUUUUGGACAAUGGGCGCAAGCCUGAUCCAGCCAUGCCGCGUGAGUGAAGAAGGCCUUCGGGUUGUAAAGCUCUUUCAGACGGAAAGAAAUCGGGCGCGUGAAUAGCGUGCCUGGAUGACGGUACUGUCAGAAGAAGCACCGGCUAACUACGUGCCAGCAGCCGCGGUAAU